CCUACGGAUGACAGCAGUAGGGAAUAUUGCUCAAUGGGGGAAACCCUGAAGCAGCAACGCCGCGUGGAGGAUGAAGGUUUUCGGAUUGUAAACUCCUUUUGGUAGAGAAGAGAAUGACGGUAGCUAACGAAUAAGCACCGGCGAACUCCGGGCCAGCAGCCGCGGUAAUACGGAGGGGGCAAGCGUUACUCGGAAUCACUGGGCGUAAAGAGCGCGGAGGCGGGAUCGCAAGUCAGAUGUGAAAUCCUAUGGCUUAACCAUAGAACUGCAUUUGAAACUGUUAUUCUAGAGUAUGGGAGAGGUAGGUGGAAUUCUUGGUGUAGGGGUCACAUCCGU
rnacentral:rRNA from 1 species